CUGAAAAUCUUCAUUUAAUCCUUUCAGAUUGAGUUGACCUCCAGACACAGAAACCUCAGAACGCAAAACUGCAGACAAGGGGAAGACUUCUGUAACUAGGAAGGCUGCGUACAAACUGUCAAAUGACAAGGAACUAAGACGCACAGGGAGUCAGCGUCAGGACUGCAGAGAUCACAGAGCCUGUGGGAGCAGGUGCCCAGGAGGAUGGAGGCUGGAUGGUAGGCCAUGGCUGAACUUGACCGACCCUCUGGUUCAGCCAGCCCACGGAUGGAGCUGGGGUUCAGGGUGGAGCCCGGCAGACAUUCCUUCUGUGUGAUUUCAGUUCCCAUUUAUGUGCAUCUUGGAUUUUAGAGAAGGGUCUGGCAAUAAGUCAGUAACGGGCCCUCUGGUUGGUGCCCAGAGGUGACAAUAGUCAGAUCUCACCAGUCAGUGAUGCUAAGGAGCAGGUAGGAGCAUGCUUCUUCCCACCUUGCCCUUAAAAUAAUCCUUUAAAGAAAAGCUAUUGUUCCCAUGUGACAAUUGAAGACUCAACGCAGGCAGGAAGCUUCUAGGAAACUCAUCGGAGGCAGCAGAGCAUGCAGCAGACCUAGGUGGGCUCACAGCCCCUGAAGGGCGCAGGGGAGGGCCCUCCAGUGAGCCGCGGCUCUGCAGGGUGAGCGAAUGUCUCCUCUCCUGGCCACCAGGAGGACGUGAGCCAUCCGUGGCAAACGGAGAACAAAGGAGGAGACUUUCCCAGCCACGGCAUCAGCUUAUGGGGACAAACAAGAUGCCCACAGAGAUAUUCUCACCAAGGCCGAGGUGUUUGUCAGGCCCACCUCUCUCCUCCUGAGGUCACCAAGCACGUGUGACUGGCUUGUCAGGGCGCAGCGUCGGCUCUCACGAGGAUGCUGUUGGGAAACGCCUUUGACUCCCAGGCGUUUCUUCCUCAGAUCCUCCAUUAUUACUGGCCAGUCCAACCCUCAGGGGACAGGGCUCGUGCAGGGCUGGACUGAGGCGGAGGAGUGGAGCACGGGUUCCCUGGGACGGGCGCGUAGGUUCCCCUCGGGUGGAGGAGGUGGCGGCAGGACGAGGCAGCCUGGGCAUGCAGAGGCUGGGAGGAGGGCGCAGGGGAGACCUGAGGUCCAGAUGUGAACAAAGGCCAGCAGGGGUCAGCAUGCAAGGUGAUCCACGUGGCGCCGCUCCUGCUGCGUCCCUGGGCUAGGACCUGCGCUGAACCCUCGGGCGAGGGCUGAGGGCGGGGAACGCCACACAUUGCCAGCAGCCUCUGCAGGGUCGGGAGGUGGCGCUGUUGGCACAGACAUGUGAGUUGAACUACGUCUGCACCCCGGGGACCUCGGGGGACUGGCGCCCGCAGAGCCGCUGCCGCUUCCGUUGUCAGCAGUAACUGGAGCUGUGGGGGGCGACAGGGAGGGGGCGACAGGGAGGGGCCGAGCAGGGAGGAGCCCGAGCAGGGAGGAGCCCGAGCAGGGAGGGGCGGUGGCUGGUACACGGAUGGGGCGGGCAGAAAGUCGAAAUCACCCCGGAAACACCCUGGGGGCUCCCGAAAACAGCAGAAGAAUUGAAUGGGCUCUGGAAAGCGACGGAGAGGAGGGUGGAGCCAGGGAAAUCAGCUGUGCCCAGCGCCCAGAGCAGGAGAGCCAGGAGAGCAGGCCUCCUUCGGCUGUCCCACCGCCGUGACUCCAUCCCUGAGGACUGGCUUGCUUUCCUGCAGCACAGAGCCGUCCAGGUCUGCUUGGGCUCAGUGCAGAUGAGAAAGGGCCCAGCGUUCCCCUGGGGUGACCCUGCGUCCAGGGCCUCACCCUCCCCUGGCUUCACCAUGGUCUCACUGAGCCUCCAUCCCUCUGAUCAGAGCUGUGGCUUUCAAAAGCAUUGUGUCAUUAGGGCUACUGGUCACACUUUUCCGUCUUUCCCCCUUUCAGAUAGGAGGUGGGAUUAUUCUUCCUGGUCUCCUUAUGGCCAGGGCAGGUGGGGGAUGCCUAACCAGCUGUGGCCAAUGAGUUCUGAAUGGAAAUAACCUGUUAUUUCUUAGCCAUAGCAUGCAAUGCUGACAGAAGAUCCUUUUCCUUUACUAUGACAAUUAGCUGUGUUCCAGACUGCCUGUGCCAUAUCCCUGAGUCCCGGAGGGAAGAUGACAGGAGCCAUGGAGCACCUGACCCAUGACAGACAUGCAGCAUGAGCAAGCAAUGACCUCUGUUGUUGUAAACUGCUAAGGUCUGGGUUUGUUUGUUACUGCAGCAUAACAUAGACUCUCCUGGCUGAUAUGAGCAAACUCUUGGAGAUCAUGGGGCUAUCUGUAGGGCACUGUGAAGGUAAAAACCUUUACUUUCUUAUAUAAACUACAGUUUGGUUUUUUUAUUAGUUACACAUGACAGUACGAUGAUCUUGACAAUUCAUACAUUUUAAUCAAAUGGGGAACAGUUAUUAUUAAUAGUAAUGAGUAUCCCAUAGGAAGCAACUACUACCUGUCAGGAAUUGUUCUAGUUUCUUUGGUAGAUGUUUUCUCAUUGAUCUCCACCACAGCCCUGUGGGUUUUGAAUUAUUGGCUUGUUCAGUGUCAAUCUCAUUGUAGAGCUCAAGGGACUGAGGUUCAGGGACACUCAAGGUUGCUGUGAUCACUACUACUAAGGGAUAGAAUUAAGAUCCAGAUGUUGGAGUCUCUAACUCCAAAACACUCACUUUCUCCAUCCCUGGGCUAUUAUUACCAUCCCAAGAAUAAAUAAAAUAUUUUUAAGAGAAAGGAUCUCUUUACAGGGAACACAUUAGCAUCUGCCUUCUGACUAAAUUGAAUGUGAAAGGUGAUCCCCACAGGCUGAACAAACAGGCUUGCCCUCGAGGGUGAUUAUUUUUGAGAUGGAAUCUGUCUGUGCUGUCCAGGAUCAUGUCUAGCUCCUGAGCUUAAGAGAUCCUCCUGCCUCAGCCUCCCGAGUGCUGGGAUCACAGGUGAGCACCGCAGAGCCUGGCUUGGUGUGGUAUUUGGCAAGGGAAUCUCCCUUUUUCUCCUCUGAUUUGGGUGCUCCACCAGAUAAGCCACAGCAAGCACCAAAAGCUUAAGAAAAAUGUAAAGAGGUCAUUUAUCCAUCAUUUUUUAAUGUUAUGAAUGAGCUGAGAGAUCGGAAGAGUGAGGAGUCUCAUUGCCUAGAGGUGAGCUUCCCCAAGACAGGAGCUCCUCAUUCUGACUUCUAAGUAAGCAUUUGGUUUUGCAUUCGUAUGAAAUGACACCGUUAUGUCUCCUAAACAUAGGUGAAAGGUCCCCUAAAAGCUCACGUGUGAGACAAUGCGAGAGGGUUCAGAGGAGAAAUAAUUAGGUUGUGAGAGCCUUAAACCAGUCAGUGAAUUCUUCCCCUGAUAGGGAUUAACUGAGUGGUAACUGCAGGCAGCUGGGGUGUGGCUGGAGGGGGGCACUGGAGGCGUGGCUUUGGGGGAUAUACUUGUAUCUGGCCAGUGGCUUCUCUCUCUGCUUCCUGUGAGCUGCUUCCCCCUGCCACCCUCUCCCACCUGGAGCCCGAGGAAUGGAGCCAGCCUUCUGUGGGCUGAGACCUCUGAAACGGUGAGCCCCCAAACUUUCCUCCUCUACAGUUGUUCUGGUCGAGUCUUUUAGUCACAGCAACAAAAAAUCUGACUAAAACAAACCCUGAGUGACCUCAGGUGCCCUUUAUCUAACUUCCCUCUACUGCUAACAUCUUUUUUUAAAAAUAUUUUCAGUUGGGCCAGGGUUGUGGCUCAGCGGUAGAGCACUCGCCAAGCAUGUGCACACCCUGGGUUUGAUCUUCAGCACUGCAUAAAAAUAAAUAAAGGUAUUGUGUCCAAUUAAAACUAAAAAAAUAAAUACUU
rnacentral:lncRNA from 1 species